GGUAGCUGAUGGAGGAAUCCUGAGGGUGUUACGCGGCGAUAGGAUUGUGCUGGAGGGGAAGAAGGAGAGCAGAGGACAUUAUUACUUGGCAGGGAGCCCAGUGCGAGGUGGAGUUUCGGGAGCCAGGCGGAGCCCAGAGUGAGGUAGAGCUCCAGGAGGCAGAUCGGGCACGAGACAGGAGACUCGGGAGGACGAGAGGCGACGUCGCAAGGUGAGAUUCCUAUUACCGCAGGAUGAUGCCCCGAGCAGGUCUCAGGUCAGGAGGAGCACAGCAUACGAUGGAGAUGGGAUCGAGCAGCCUGGCUCGACACCCAUGUUUGCCCAUCCAUAAUCAGCAGGCGAUUGCCUCAGGGCAUGGGGCG
rnacentral:lncRNA from 1 species